rnacentral:rRNA from 1 species
CCUACGGGAGGCAGCAGUGAGGAAUAUUGGUCAAUGGCCGGAAGGCUGAACCAGCCAAGCCGCGUGAAGGACGAAGGUGCCAAGCAUUGUAAACUUCUUUUGUCAAGGGACAAAAUCAGGCUCGAGAGCCUGACCGAGGGUACUUGAAGAAAAAGCAUCGGCUAACUCGGUGCCAGCAGCCGCGGUAAUACGGAGGAUGCGAGCGUUAUCCGGAUUGAUUGGGUUUAAAGGGUGCGUAGGCGGGCUGUUAAGUCAGCGGUAAAAGCCCGGGGCUCAACCCCGGCGAGCCGUUGAAACUGGCUGUCUUGAGAUGUCGAGAGGUAUGCGGAAUGCGCAGUGUAGCGGUGAAAUGCUUAGAUAUUGCGCAGAACUCCGAUUGCGAAGGCAGCAUACCGGCGGCGAUCUGACGCUGAGGCACGAAAGCGUGGGUAUCGAACAGGAUUAGAUACCCUUGUAGUC